CCUGUGCAUGUCUCCCACAUAUCAGGUCAAUGAAAGGUGAAUGUCCUGCAGUUGAUUGACCUCUCUGCCUGGGUAACCUUGUACUUUGUACCCUGGCCCUGAAAGGGUUAAGACUGUGUGCGCUUGUAGAAACCAUUCAUACCCAAUGCUCACUGGCAAAAAUAGCUACUGACAGGCUUGGGCUGGCUGUGCUGGGGCUGUAUGCAGUAUCUCCAGACAUAGGGAUAGGGAGAGUAUCCAGCCUGGCUAUAACAGAUAGGAAAGGCAAUGUGGACAAGGCUUUCACAAAUUAAUUCCUCUUGCAGCAUUGAUUGUCAUUGUUUUGGACAGUAGCACAUUUGAAGGUAUUUAUACCUGUCUUCAAAGCAUUUACAAGAUUGACAUCAUUUUGGUGCCAGCAGACGGGGGAUUGAGCAGAAGGGAUUCACAGGACUGUAUGAACAGAAAAUUGUCAGGUCAGGCCAGCUUUAGCAACCAAGGCUCUUCAGAUAGAAUGUCUACACUGAUAUUAGCCAGCCUGUAAUCCCUGGAAGUAUACCUCUCCUACCUACUCCUAAGCGCCAUUACUCUCUCCAAUUUAUAGACAGACAGCUUUUUUGGAACUUAACCUAAACAUGGGGUGCUCUUUCAGUGCAGCUAGACAAGCCAAAAAGGAAGGUGACAAGGAAGGAAACACGCUGAACCUAAAACCUGAAGAUCAGUCUGGCGAAAAUUUGCUUGAUAAAGCUGCUGUUGAAGUGAAAGAAGGUGUUGCAGCAGGGAAAGAGGGUUUGAGUGACGUAGCUGCUGAUCUAGAUGAAGCUAUGGAUAAGGGAAAGACAACAGUAUCUGAAAAAGCUGCGUCAGCAAAGGAGUGUGCAUCAGAUAAAAUGAAUAAUGCAGGUGAAGAGAUACAGUCCAAAGCAAAAGAAGGCAAGGAGGUUUUGUCUGCAGGAAUGACAGAAGUUAGCUCAGCUGUUAAAAAAGGUACAGAUAAGGUAUCAAAAGACGCCAAAGAUGCGAAAGAUGCAACAGUAGCUAAGGCUUCUGAAACUGGCGACAAAGUAGGAUCUGCAUUGCAGACAGGAAAGGAGAAUAUUGCAGAAGGAGUCAGUAAUGCUUCUGAAAGAGUUGGAUCUGCUGUGGAAAAAGGCAGAGAGGAACUUGCAUCAACAAAAGAAAAGGUUGCUGCGAAAGCCAGUGAAGCCAGUGAAGAGAUUGGCUCAAAAGCUGAAGAUAGCAAAGAGAGCGCAUCCACAGGAGUUCAAGAUCUGUCUUCAGCACUAACAGAGAAGGCAUGGGAAUUAAAAGAAGCAGCAGAAAACAAAGCCACGGAAGUUAAAGAACAGAUAAUAUCAGUAGUUGUUGCAGGGAAGGACACUGCUGCAGCAGGAUUGGGAAAACUGUCUGCAGGGUUUGGGUCUGUGGCUGAAGACACAAAAAGUACGGCUGAGUCUGCAAAGGACAAGACAUCAGAACAACUAAGCCAAGCUGGUGAGAGUAUUGGAUCAUCAGUUGAUAGUGCAGGAAAGAAUCUGUCUGAAGGGGCAGCUAACUUAAAAGCAGAGGUUGGGUCUGCUGUUGACUCUGGUAAAUCCAUAGUGUCAGAAAAAACAACAGAAGUGAAGGAAGCGGCAGCUGCUAACAUGUCAAAAGCUGGCGAAACAAUUGAAUCUAAUGUGAAAACAGGUAAAACAAAAGUGUCUUCAGGAUUUGAAUCUGGUUUCAAUGAAAUAUCCCAGAAGGCAACAGAAGCAAAAGAUGCCACUGCAGAUAAAAUGUCCAAGAUGAGGGAUUCUUUUGGAUCUGCAGUUACUGAAGGCAAAGAAACUGCAGCUGAUAAAUAUUCAUCUGCGGUUGACUCGGGUUCUGAUGCUCUGUCCAAAGGCAAGGAAAAAGUCUCAUCUGGCAUGAGUGAAAUGUCUCAAAAAGCAACAGAAGCCAAAGAUGCUGCUGCUGCACAAAUUUCCAAGAUGGGGGAUUCCAUUGGAUCUAAAUUUGCUGAAGGUAAAGAAACUGCAGCUGAGAAAUAUGGGUCUGCGGUUGACUCAGGUUCUGCUGCUCUGUCCACAGGCAAGGAAAAAGUCUCAUCUGGCAUGAGCGAAAUGUCACAAAAAGCAACAGAAGCCAAAGAUGCUGCUGCUGCACAAAUUUCCAAGAUGGGGGAUUCUGCUGCAUCCACUUUUACUGAAGGUAAAGAAACUGUGUCUGAUAAGUUUGGAUCUGCAGUUGACUCUGGUUCUGCUGCUCUGUCUACUGGCAAGGAAAAAGUCUCAUCUGGCAUGAGUGAAAUGUCACAAAAAGCAACAGAAGCCAAAGAUGCUGCUGCUGCACAAAUUUCCAAGAUGGGGGAUUCUGCUGCAUCCACUUUUACUGAAGGUAAAGAGACUGUGUCUGAUAAGUUUGGAUCUGCAGUUGACUCGGGUUCUGCUGCUCUGUCUACUGGCAAGGAAAAAGUCUCAUCUGGCAUGAGUGAAAUGUCUCAAAAAGCAACAGAAGCUAAAGAUGCUGCUGCUGCACAAAUUUCCAAGAUGGGGGAUUCCAUUGGAUCUAAAUUUGCUGAAGGUAAAGAAACUGCAGCUGAUAAAUAUGGAUCUGCAGUUGACUCGGGUUCUGAAGCUCUGUCCACAGGCAAGGAAAAAGCUUCAUCUGGUCUUAGUGAAUUGUCACAAAAAGCAAUGGAAGCCAAAGACGCCACUGCUGCAGAAAUGGCCAAGGCUAGACAGACUGUUGAAUCAAAAUUUGCUGAAGGUAAAGAAACUUUGUCUGAUAAGUUUGGAUCUGCAGUUGAUUCCAGUAAGGAUGGUGCUUCCUCUGUAAAGCAGAAGAUGUCAUCUGGGUUUUCAGAUUUAUCGGAAAGUGCUGGAUCAGCAGUUGACUCAGCCUCUGAGCAAUUAGGAUCUGCUGUUGAUUCGGGCAAAGAAGCAGUUUCAACUGGAAAAGAAAAGGUUUCUUCAGGACUUGAUAAUUUUGCUUCUAGUUUUGGAUCUGCUGUUGAUUCUGGGAAAUCUGAAAUAUCCGAACAUGCAAAAGCUGCAAAAGAUGCAACGGCAACAAAACUAGAUCAGGCAAGUGAUAAGUUCGGAUCUUUGAUGGCAGAGGGUAAAGAAAGUGUGUCAGCAGGAGCUGAAGAGGUUUCAGAGGGGAUGUCAUCAGCGAAAAGCAAAAUAGUUGAGAGCGCAGAAUAUGGAGAAAAAAAGCUAACUAAUCUGAAAGAUGAUGCCAAGGAAGAAGGCUCUGGCGUUGUCGGAUACAUAUCUACACAGGCAGAAGAAAUAAAACAUAAAGUUGGCGAAGUUGUAGAUCAAGGAAGGCAGAUUGUGUCCGAAAAGGUGGAACAGGUUGGUCAGUCUGCUCAGUCAGCUAAAUCAUACAUAAGUGAGGGAGCAGGAAACCUCUUUGGUUACGGAGGAUCUGCAGAGGAAAGCAAGGAGAAGCAGGGAGAUCCUUCAACAGAGCAGUUUUCCAAAAAUAUUGUGGAAUCUGCACUCACUGGAGCUAUGGCUUCUAUGAGUCCAUCAGACCAAGCUGUUGACCCUUCUGACAUUAAGCUCCAAACUCACAAUGAGUCUCUGUCUGGUGAGUGAGUGCAUGAAGUCCACAACACUGCAUGCCUGCUGCUACACCAAACAUAAGAAUUCAGUCUUGUGUAGCGUUAGUUGCUUUUGGAGUAGCUGCAAAGACCAAUUUCAUUUGGAACUAGCCAAACAUUGGAGAUUGUUGCUCGGGAAUGUUAUUUAGCAUGACUAGUGUUAAAACGAAUGAGACCUGUUUUCACUGUGUUACUAAUAUUAAGAAAUGUACUUUACUGUCAUGGUAUACCAUUGGCAGCAUUUCCACUAAUGGCAUUCAAUGUUUUAUCAUUGACCUUCUAUACAAAUAUAUAAAACAAAAAAAAAAAAAUGUGAUUAUGUAUGAAGAGAUCAAUCUCAAUUGAGUCAUAUUUAGUAGUUGUUCCCAAUCUCAAGAAAGACACUCUCAGUAUGUCUUUCCCUGUUGUCAGCUUAUUAUUAGGCCUGUUGAACUUAAAUUUAAUAAAUAUAUAAAGUCAAAAAAUGAAAUGUUGGCUGUUCAUACAGUUGUAUUCUUGCCACGUACCUUGGAUCAUUUGCGAAUCAAAGUGAUGGUUUUGAGGUUUAACCUGUCUAAACCUGUCUUCUUGUAUAACAUGGAAGCUGGUUUUACUUCUGAUUUAGUUUGAGACAAGUCAGAGGGGAACAGCUACAAGAACUGGCUUUGGUGAGAUUGUAGGGGAUUGUCAGAGAAAAAUUACUGUAAUAUUAUGAUCAUUUUUGGUUGAAAAUUUUUGUACUUCAGGUUAUAGAAGUUUUACAUUAUGGUACUUAUUAUUUUACAGAUUAACCAAUCCUUAAACUGGAGGAGAACACUUAAAAUGACAGGAGUUAAGGGCAUUCAUAUGUACACAUUUCGACAUACAUGUACCUUUAUACAUACAUAUUUCUGUAGAUCAGUGUUACAGUUUUUCUAGGAUGUAAAAUUGUCCAUGCCCAUGCGCCAUUUUUUUUGGUACCCAUUGGUGCUGAGGGGCACAUUUGUACAUACCUUUUUUUAUGAUUUUUGUCUUGGCAUCUGCAUGUAUUAAUUCAAGUAACUUGAAUGUUAGUAAUACACUCUACUUGUUGAGACUAUUGUAUAUUUCUAAUGGAUUUCUAACUGCAGUUCUUGAAGACCUUUUAGAUUGUAAAAAAUAUCAUAUGCAAGCAUUGUAUUUCAAAGAAUGUUGAGAAAUAGAUUGACACUGUUGUAUACUGAUGGCAUGGUUAUAUAUGUUAGGUAGCAUGAUUAUUUACAAUGUUGUACAAGUACAUGUGGGUACUUUCUUCGCACUUGUUUUUCUCUUAUGGUCCUGCAUGCUGCGUGGAAAUAUCUACUGAUAAGUUACCUUCUGUUAUUACCUUGUUAGGACAAUUUUUGCUAUUUUACUAUCACUAUAAUUUAUGUUAUAGUCUGGUAGAUGCUCGUUAGGGAUUGUCUACAUUCUGGACUGACACUUUUGCAUGUUUAUUUGUCACUUGAAUCUGUAGCUCUGACAGAAAGCUUGCCCAUAAGGCUAUGUGUGCAUGUUCAUUUUCUGAAGUGUAGAUAUGAAUAGAUAAGAAUGGUUCCACAACACUGCUACAAUGCAUGCACAUGUAACUGCCAACACUUUGAGCACAGAUACACACAUAUGGUGUGAAUAAUAUUUAAAUAUAAAACUAUUUUUAAAACUGCCAGAUUUAUGCCUCAUCAUGAUUUAGAUGUAAUCAUUUUUCUUUUGCUAGACAAAAUCAUAUGUAGCGCACACUACUAGUACCUUCAAUGACUGUACUUUGAACAGUAUGUUUGUGCCACAAAUUUCUGACAUGAGUGAUGGCUUUAUAAUAUAUGCUACAACUCAAGACAUUACAUGUACAGUGCAGUAUGCUGAUUUUGAAAUUUGUGAAAGUUGUUUAAAUAUUUUGUCAAAAUAAUCAGUAGAGGUGUACACGUGUCCUUAUAUGUGUAUUUGUAUCUAACCAAGCUAAGGUUUUGGUAUUGAAAUGUAGGCCGGCAAUGGCUGUCAAUGAGAAAAUCUUGUUAUGAAAAUUGCGUACAUUGAUCCAUCAUUGAUUAUGAAGAAGUUAUUGAUUCACUGCCUUGCCACUUAAAGUACAUGUACAUAUUAAUAGUAUAAAUAUAUAAUUGUCUCUGAUUGCUUGGAACGGUUUAUUGGGAUUUACGUUCUCAGGCUAGGCUUAACAAUUAAGACAAACCAGCACUUGAACAUGUAUAGAACUGCUUAGUUAAGGCUAUCCAAAUGGAUUUGGUUAAGCCACAUGGAAAACAAGGGCUCUGCACCCUUGGUGGUCAGAGCAUGUGAUGUUGGCAUUACAUGUAGCUUGACUUUCAAAUCAUGAUAAUACUGUGAACAAUAUAGUGUAGACUUUGGUAACAUGACUGCACCUGACCUUAGUAUUGCAGUAUAUGUUUGUAGUCUGACAAUAGUUAAUGACUCAUUUUGAUACCCGAGACAGUAGGCUUUGAUGUAGAGGCGGCAAUAAUUGGCUGAUGUAUGUAGUAAUUGAUUGAGUAGGACUGUCAGCAGUGCGCAAGACCAACUGUGUGUUAGCAUCUACAUGUAGGCUGUGCAGGCUACCAUUUUAGUUUCCACAGUAAUGACAAUCCAUAUUAGACAAAGGCAUUGAUUUGAUAGUGUUUACCUGGUGGUGUUAGAUGUGAAAGUGAAAAUGAUUGCACUGUUUAUGAUGCAGUGAUCAAAGUUGACCUUUUUUUAAUAACUAUUAUGUUUAUAAUAAUUAUCUUUAUUAUCAUAGAAUACCUAUGCUGUGUGAAUUUUAAUUCAUAUAAAUUCCAAAAGAUUGCUGCCAUGUGCAUGCCAUUACUGAUGCAAGAAACAAAACAGAGAAAACGAAGUAAAAAAAUAAAAUAUGUAGAAAAAAUGACAGCAAGAUAAAAAAAAAAAAAAAACAAAAAACAAACUAUUAGAUGUGUUAUGAAGUGCUUCUAAUGUUUAGAUUUGUAAGGUUUUUGCAUUCCUCUGUGUAUGUCACCUGUCUAGCUUAAGGCCUCUCCUAUUGUUCCAAGUUCAUGACUCAAGAACAUUCAGUCAGUACUAGUAGCUAUUUUAACCCAUAUUUUUGCCUCAUACCCAUUUUGAACCAUGGUGUUUUUGCCAGAACAUCUUGUCAUUUAAUUGUCAUUAACUUGAAUGUAUGUAUAAAGCUAGAUAUUUAACUGCAUGUGGAUGUAAAUACGUGCAACAGUGGAAUGUCAAAAGCUUUGUGAUGAGUACUACGCCCACAUACAUUAACACUGCCUUCUUUACAUGAGGACAACACACUCUAAUGGGCAGGGACUCUGGUGUAGAAAUGUUAACCUUUUACUAAAACACCUGAGGCCCAUGUGAUCACAAAGUUGACAUGUGUAAGGCUCCUCAGUCCUGCCACAGCCUGGCCUCUCUGGAACUUUUGUACACCAGAGACGGGUCAUGAUCCUGCUGUACAUGGUGCUAAACUGGAGGACAGAUUCUACAACAAUGAGAGCUUUAAG